GUUAGAUUGGGAGUGUCUUAUUAUCUGUGAUAUUGGGAUGUUUACGGUUGGGGGGGGUCUUAUUAUCUAUGAUAAUGGGAGGGUCUUAUUAUCUAUGAUAUUGGGAGGUUCUUGUUCGAUUGGGAGUGUCUUAUUAUCAGUGAUAUUGGGAUGUUUACGGUUGGGAGGGUCUUAUUAUCUGUGAUAUUGGGAUGUUUACGGUUGGGGGGGUCUUAUUAUCUGUGAUAUUGGGAUGUUUACGGUUGGGAGGGUCUUAUUAUAUGUACUAUAGGGAGGGUCUUAUUAUAUGUUAUAUUGAGAGGGUCUUAUUAUCUGUGAUAUUGGGAGGGUCGUAUUAUCUGUGAUAUUGAGAGGAUGUUAUUAUCUGUGAUAUUGGGAGGGUCUUAUUAUCUGUGAUAUUGGGAUGUGUACGGUUGGGAGGGUCUUAUUAUAUGUACUAUUGGGAGGGUCUUAUUAUAUGGUGUUAUCUGUGAUAUUGGGAGGGUCUUAUUAUCUGUGAUAUUGGGAUGGUUAUGGUUGGGAUGGGUAACCCUAACUAAUUUGAAUCCAUUUGUCUGUUGGAUGUCAGGAUGGGUUAGUGUUCAUGCAGUUAGUUCUGUUACCGGAAACUACGCUACUAUACUAUUUCCUGUGCUUUCAUAUGAUCAUUUUUUAUAAAUAUAUAUUUAAAAAAAUA
ensembl:lncRNA